AUCACUUCUUGGCCUUUUGGCUAAGAUCAAGUGUAGUAUCUGUUCUGAUCAGUUUAAUAUCUGGAAGAAAAAGAAAGAAAUAAUUAAAUCUGGAAGGAAGGAAU
ensembl:snRNA U2 U2 spliceosomal RNA